GUUUGAUCCUGGCUCAGGACGAACGCUGGCGGCGUGCCUAAUACAUGCAAGUCGAGCGAGCUGAAUUCAAAGAUCCCUUCGGGGUGAUUUGUUGGACGCUAGCGGCGGAUGGGUGAGUAACACGUGGGCAAUCUGCCCUAAAGACUGGGAUACCACUUGGAAACAGGUGCUAAUACCGGAUAACAACAUGAAUCGCAUGAUUCAAGUUUGAAAGGCGGCGCAAGCUGUCACUUUAGGAUGAGCCCGCGGCGCAUUAGCUAGUUGGUGGGGUAAAGGCCUACCAAGGCAAUGAUGCGUAGCCGAGUUGAGAGACUGAUCGGCCACAUUGGGACUGAGACACGGCCCAAACUCCUACGGGAGGCAGCAGUAGGGAAUCUUCCACAAUGGACGCAAGUCUGAUGGAGCAACGCCGCGUGAGUGAAGAAGGUUUUCGGAUCGUAAAGCUCUGUUGUUGGUGAAGAAGGAUAGGAGCAGUAACUGGUUUCUAUUUGACGGUAAUCAACCAGAAAGUCACGGCUAACUACGUGCCAGCAGCCGCGGUAAUACGUAGGUGGCAAGCGUUGUCCGGAUUUAUUGGGCGUAAGGCGAGCGCAGGCGGAAUGAUAAGUCUGAUGUGAAAGCCCACGGCUCAACCGUGGAACUGCAUCGGAAACUGUCAUUCUUGAGUGCAGAAGAGGAGAGUGGAACUCCAUGUGUAGCUGUGGAAUGCGUAGAUAUAUGGAAGAACACCAGUGGCGAAGGCGGCUCUCUGGUCUGCAACUGACGCUGAGGCUCGAAAGCAUGGGUAGCGAACAGGAUUAGAUACCCUGGUAGUCCAUGCCGUAAACGAUGAGCGCUAGGUGUUGGGGACUUUCCGGUCCUCAGUGCCGCAGCAAACGCAUU
rnacentral:rRNA from 1 species